rnacentral:rRNA from 1 species
AGUGAACGCUGGCGGUAGGCCUAACACAUGCAAGUCGAACGGCAGCACAGUAAGAGCUUGCUCUUACGGGUGGCGAGUGGCGGACGGGUGAGGAAUACAUCGGAAUCUACUUUUUCGUGGGGGAUAACGUAGGGAAACUUACGCUAAUACCGCAUACGACCUACGGGUGAAAGCAGGGGAUCUUCGGACCUUGCGCGAUUGAAUGAGCCGAUGUCGGAUUAGUUAGUUGGCGGGGUAAAGGCCCACCAAGGCGACGAUCCGUAGCUGGUCUGAGAGGAUGAUCAGCCACACUGGAACUGAGACACGGUCCAGACUCCUACGGGAGGCAGCAGUGGGGAAUAUUGGACAAUGGGCGCAAGCCUGAUCCAGCCAUACCGCGUGGGUGAAGAGGGCCUUCGGGUUGUAAAGCCCUUUUGUUGGGAAAGAAAAGCAGCAGGUUAAUACCCCGCUGUUCUGACGGUACCCAAAGAAUAAGCACCGGCUAACUUCGUG